rnacentral:lncRNA from 1 species
GUGACUGUGGGUGAGGCCAUGGUCCAUAAAAGGGACAUGUUCCUUAAGUUCUGCCUGUGGAAGAUGUUCUUCCUCUCUGCAUGGUCACCAAUGGGCCAUGCUAAGUACAGUAGCUUUCCAGAAGCAGUGAUACCCUUGAGGGUCACUGUCACUAACAGAAAUAAUAUUUCCCCAGGUUGGUUGUCCUAUAACCUGAACAUUGAGGGGCAGAGACACAUAAUCAAUAUGAAACCCAAAAA